rnacentral:tRNA from 1 species
UGGGGAAUAGUUCAAUGGUAGAACUACGGACUCUGACUCCGUCAAUCUUGGUUCGAAUCCAGGUUCCCCAGCCA